GGCAGCCUGUGGACGAAUACACUCUAUUGGAAACGGGCCAAUUGUGUGGUAUCAAAAAUUUGAAUAUGCAAUUGCCCAUUGGCUACAAAAAGCUACUGAACACGUCCUGGGGUGUGUGUUGUGUUCUCCAGGAUGUUUCAGUCUUUUCCGAGGAUCUGCUUUAAUGGAUGACAAUGUAAUGGGAAAGUAUGUUCAGGUUCCCACAAAUGCAACUGAAGUCCUGAUGUACGACUUAGUGAGGACCGCUGGCUGUGCACACUUCUGUUACAGCAAGGAUACAGGGUUGAUUACGCUGCAGGGGCAGAUGCAUUUACAAACACUCCUGAAGGAUUCAAUGAAUUUUUUCAACAAAGAAAGCGCUGGGGUCCGUCAACGCUUGCAAAUAUCAUGGCACUUCUACAAAACUGGGAGAAAGUUGUAAAAGAAAAUCCAAAUAUAAGCUGGCUGCACAUUUUAUAUUUAGGUUCUUUAAUGGUUUCAACUAUCAUAGGGCCAUCAACAAUUCUGAUGCUCAUCGCCGGAGCUUUCGUAACGGUAUUUGAUAUAAGCAUUGUGAAUGCAUAUAUUGCCUCCGUUAUUCCAGGAGUUCUGUUCUUUGUCAUAUACCUUGUGUGUUCAACAAAGGUGCAGCUAAUCGUAGCCCAAGUUCUCAGUGGAUUUUAUGUCAUAAUAAUGAUGGUGGUAAUGGUUGGACUUCUCAUUACUGCACUAACUCAGUCAUUUUACCAUCCGAGUGUGAUAUUUUUACUUGGGCUUGUCCUUAUAUUUGUCGUUGCGGCGUUGUUGCAUCCUCUAGAAUGGGUUAAUAUCUUAUACGGAUUCCUAUAUUUCGUAUCCAUUCCAAGUGGAUUUUUAGUACAGGUUAUUUACUCGCUGUGUAAUCUAAAUGACGUGUCAUGGGGAACAAGAGAAAAUUCAACACCAGGAAAAGAAAAAAUCAAAGACAAUGGAGUUUUGUCAAAUAUAUUUUCCCCCGUUUCAAAUCUAGUAAAGAACAGUUUUCAACGAGAUAGUUCCGACAAAGAAAAACUCUUUUUAAAUCUUCUACAAGAGACAAUAAGCAUGCUUGGUCAUAAAAAUCAAAGUGCAGAUAGUGUGUCCAAAAGUGACUUGCCAUCUGGUGAUGUAGCUGAUCAACCACCCAAGGAUGAGAACAGCACCCACGAAAAUGACGCUCAAACUACACCUAAGGCUAAUAAUUCUAAAUGUUGGAUAGACGAAGGCCAAUUCCAAGGGGAAAAACUAACUAUGGAUAAAAAUGAAAGCAAGUUUUGGCAGGAUCUCGUCGAAAAAUACUUAGAUCCUAAAGAUGUAAAGAUGAAAAAAGACUUAACAGGAGAAUUAAAGGAACUCCGAAACAAUGUAUGCAGUGGUAUGGCCCUUGUGAAUAUCUUGUGGAUAACCGUCAACUUCAUGUUCCAGUUCAGAAGCCCAACUGUAGUAACUUUUCAACUUCCGAUAGAAGAUUAUGGAGACGAACAUGGCAUCUAUGAGAUGAAAAUCGAGAUGUUGGGGCUGUUGUUUAUCAUAUUUUUUCUUGUUCUUCUUUUAAUCCAGUUCUGUGGCAUGGUCAUGCACAGAUUGGGAACAUUCAUACAUCUCGUAGCUAUUACAGAACUUUGGAAUCCAAUUAGCACAAAACAGAUAAACCGGCCUCCAAAAAAUGAAAGCGUUCAAUCGAUCGAAAUAUCUACUCUGAUACAAAUACGACAAUUACAAGAAUAUGGAACCAAAUAUAUAUCAGCUCCAUCCAGUUCUGAAAUUAACAGUGAGCAGACAGAAGAGCUCCGGCAUGGACAAAGUCAACCCAAUCUGAGACACAGACUUAGCAAAUCAGAAACAAGCAAUCGAACAAACAAAUCAAGUGAACAUUAAUUUAUACACUUGAUUGGGAUCAUGUGCUCACGUUAGACUUGAUUGAAAAACAGUGUAUUUAGUCAAUAAUAAUAAAAAUC
rnacentral:misc_RNA from 1 species